rnacentral:misc_RNA from 1 species
GAUGAAGAACGCAGCGAAAUGCGAUACUUGGUGUGAAUUGCAGAAUCCCGUGAACCAUCGAGUCUUUGAACGCAAGUUGCGCCUCAAGCCAUUAGGUUGAGGGCACGUCUGCCUGGGCGUCACAUAUCGUUGCCUGAUGCCAGUUUCCUCGUGAUGGGUGACUGUGCAGGGCGAAUGAUGGCUUCCCGUGAGCAUUGUUGCCUCAUGGUUGGUUGUAAAUUGAGUCCUUGGUAGGGAGCGCCGUGAUAGAUGGUGGUUGAGUGACGAACGAGACCCAAUCAUGUGAGACCCCUACCGAAUUUGGCCUUCAUGACCCACAUGCGUCUUUGGAACGCUCAUGACGAGACCUCAGGUCAGGCGGGGCUACCCGCUGAGUUUAAGCAUAUCAAUAAGCGGAGGA